UACGUAGGGCGCAAGCGUUGUCCGGAAUUAUUGGGGCGUAAAAGAGCUCGUAGGCGGUCUGUCGCGUCGGAUGUGAAAAGCCCGGGGGCUUAACCCCCGGGUCUGCAUUCGAUACGGGGCAGACUAGAGUGUGGUAGGGGAGAUGAAUUCCUGGUGUAGCGGUGAAAUGCGCAGAUAUCAGGAGGAACACCGGUGGCGAAGGCGGAUCUCUGGGGCCAUUUACUGACGUGAGGAGCGAAAAGCGUGGGGGAGCAAAACAGGAUUAGAAA
rnacentral:rRNA from 1 species